GCAGGUUGGAGCAGUGGUAGCUCGCCAGUUUCAUAAGCUGGAGGUCGUUGGUUCGAUUCCAACACUCUGCA
rnacentral:tRNA from 2 species